CUGUAGUUGAUUGGUCUCCUCUGUAGUUGAUUGGUCUCCUCUGUAGUUGAUUGGUCUCCUCUGUAGUUGACUGGUCUCCUCUGGUCUCCUCUGUAGUUGACUGGUCUCCUCUGUAGUUGACUGGUCUGCUCUGUAGUUGACUGGUCUCCUCUGUAGUUGAUUGGUCUCCUCUGUAGUUUACUGGUCUCCUCUGGUCUCUGUAGUUGACUGGUAUCCUCUGGUCUCUGUAGAUGACUGGUCUCCUCUGGUCUCUGUAGAUGACUGGUCUCCUCUGGUCUCCUCUGUAGUUUGCUGGUCUCCUCUGGUCUCUGUAGUUGACUGGUCUCCUCUGGUCUCUUCUGUAGUUGACUGGUCUCCUCUGUAGUUGAAUGGUCCCCUCUGGUAUCCUCUGUAGUUGACUGGUCUCCUCUGUAGUUGACUGGUCUCCUCUGUAGUUGAUUGGUCUCCUCUGUAGUUUACUGGUCUCCUCUGGUCUCUGUAGUUGACUGGUCUCCUCUGGUCUCUGUAGUUGACUGGUCUCCUCUGUAGUUGACUGGUCUCCUCUGUAGUUGACUGGUAUCCUCUGGUCUCUGUAGUUGACUGGUCUCCUCUGGUCUCCUCUGUAGUUGACUGGUCUCCUCUGGUCUCCUCUGUAGUUUGCUGGUCUCCUCUGGUCUCUGUAGUUGACUGGUCUCCUCUGGUCUCCUCUGUAGUUGACUGGUCUCCUCUGGUUUCCUCUGUAGUUUGCUAGUCUCCUCUGGUCUCUGUAGUUGACUGGUCUCCUCUGUAGUUGACUGGUCUCCUCUGUAGUUGACUGGUAUCCUCUGGUCUCUGUAGUUGACCGGUCUCCUCUGUAGUUGACUGGUCUCCUCUGUAGUUGACUGGUCUCCUCUGGUCUCUGUAGAUCACUGGUCUCCUCUGUAGUUGACUGGUCUCCUCUGUAGUUGACUGGUCUCCUCUGGUCUCUGUAGAUCACUGGUCUCCUCUGUAGUUGACUGGUCUCCUCUGUAGUUGACUGGUCUCCUCUGUAGUUGACUGGUCUCCUCUGUAGUUGACUGGUCUCCUCUGUAGUUGAUUGGUCUCCUCUGUAGUUUACUGGUCUCCUCUGGUCUCUGUAGUUGACUGGUAUCCUCUGGUCUCUGUAGAUGACUGGUCUCCUCUGGUCUCCUCUGUAGAUGACUGGUCUCCUCUGGUCUCCUCUGUAGUUUGCUGGUCUCCUCUGGUCUCUGUAGUUGACUGGUCUCCUCUGGUCUCUUCUGUAGUUGACCGGUCUCCUCUGUAGUUGACUGGUCUCCUCUGUAGUUGACUGGUCUCCUCUGUAGUUGACUGGUCUCCUCUGGUCUCCUCUGUAGUUGACUGGUCUCCUCUGUAGUUGACGGGUCUCCUCUGUAGUUGACUGGUCUCCUCUGUAGUUGACUGGUCUCCUCUGUAGUUGACUGGUCUCCUCUGUAGUUGACUGGUCUCCUCUGGUCUCCUCUGUAGUUGACUGGUCUCCUCUGGUCUCUUCUGUAGUUGACUGGUCUCCUCUGUAGUUGACUGGUCUCCUCUGUAGUUGACUGGUCUCCUCUGGUCUCCUCUGUAGUUGACGGGUCUCCUCUGUAGUUGACUGGUCUCCUCUGUAGUUGACUGGUCUCCUCUGUAGUUGAUUGGUCUCCUCUGUAGUUUACUGGUCUCCUCUGGUCUCUGUAGUUGACUGGUAUCCUCUGGUCUCUGUAGUUGACUGGUCUCCUCUGGUCUCCUCUGUAGUUGACUGGUCUCCUCUGGUCUCCUCUGUAGUUUGCUGGUCUCCUCUGGUCUCUGUAGUUGACUGGUCUCCUCUGGUCUCCUCUGUAGUUGACUGGUCUCCUCUGGUCUCCUCUGUAGUUUGCUGGUCUCCUCUGGUCUCUGUAGUUGACUGGUCUCCUCUGUAGUUGACUGGUCUCCUCUGUAGUUGACUGAUCUCCUCUGGUCUCCUCUGUAUUUUACUGGUCUCCUCUGUAGUUGACUGGUCUCCUCUGGUCUCUUCUGUAGUUGACUUGUCUCCUCUGUAGUUGACUGGUCUCCUCUGGUCUCCUCUAUAUUUGACUGGUCUCCUCUGAUCUCCACUGUAGUUGACUGGUCUCCUCUGGUCUCUGUAGUUGACUGGUCUCCUCUGGUGUCCUCUGUAGUUGACUGGUCUCCUCUGUAGUUUACUGGUCUCCUCUGUAGUUGACUGGUCUCCUCUGGUCUCUGUAGUUGACUGGUCUCCUCUGUAGGUGACUGGUCUCCUCUGUAGUUGACUGGUCUCCUCUGUUCUCCUCUGCAGUUGACUGGUCUCCUCUGUAGUUGACUGGUCUCCUCUGGUCUCUGUAGUUGACUGGUCUCCUCUGUAGUUGACUGGUCUCCUCUGGUCUCCUCUGUAGUUGACUGGUCUCCUCUGUAGUUGACUGGUCUCCUCUGUAGUUGACUGGUCUCCUCUGGUCUCCUCUGUAGUUGACUGGUCUCCUCUGGUC
ensembl:lncRNA